CUAAUAACAAAAAAUAAAAGCUAAAAAGGGCAAGUUAUCAAACGCCGUUGUCCAAGAGCAUUUCUCCAUUUAAAAUGCUUAUCUAUGUUCCUCCAAAAUGGCCCCAAAUUCUUUGAAUUAUUGUUGAGCUUGAGUGAAUUCCAUAUAUACACCUAAUAUCUCACGAGUUUUAUGGAAUCGAUCUCCUUGAAGACUUCUUCAACUCAAAAAGGGUUUCAACAACAGAUCUAGCAGCUUGUAGCCUCAACCUGACAAUCUUCGUUAAGAAUCAGCCUUGUUGAUAAUUCCUCUUGAGUUUUUCCUUCUACGCAGAAUGAGCUCCAAAGAACUGAUACCACUGUGAAGAGAUCCAUCUCCAAGAGUACAUGUCAUCUUCCAAUGGUUGAUACGACCUCAGCUAAGAGACGCUUGACUUCGAAUUUAAAGGUGAACUACUCUUUUGGGAAGUCAUUAGUUCCUCCAAAUCUUCUUUUCCAUCUUUUCAGACAAAGACAUUUUAGAUUGUUAUGUUUAUGUUUUAGUUCCGAGAUUGCAUUCUAGUUUCGACUAUUAAUUGCAGUUUUAAUAUGAUGACUUUCGGAUUCUAAGGGUUAAAUUUGACAAUUGUUAUGAUGAUUUAGUUGAAUUUAUGGGAACUCAAUCUUUUAUUUGUGUUGGACUA